rnacentral:rRNA from 1 species
AGUGAACGCUGGCGGUAGGCCUAACACAUGCCAGUCGAACGGCAGCACAGUAAGAGCUUGCUCUUACGGGUGGCGAGUGGCGGACGGGUGAGGAAUACAUCGGAAUCUACUUUUUCGUGGGGGAUAACGUAGGGAAACUUACGCUAAUACCGCAUACGACCUACGGGUGAAAGCAGGGGAUCUUCGGACCUUGCGCGAUUGAAUGAGCCGAUGUCGGAUUAGCUAGUUGGCGGGGUAAAGGCCCACCAAGGCGACGAUCCGUAGCUGGUCUGAGAGGAUGAUCAGCCAAACUGGAACUGAGACACGGUCCAGACUCCUAAGGGAGGCAGCAGUGGGGAAUAUUGGACAAUGGGCGCAAGCCUGAUCCAGCCAUACCGCGUGGGUGAAGAAGGCCUUCGGGUUGUAAAGCCCUUUUGUUGGGAAAGAAAAGCAGCAGGUUAAUACCCCGCUGUUCUGACGGUACCCAAAGAAUAAGCACCGGCUAACUUCGUG